UGCAGCCUGUGGAGGACCCCACGCCGGAGCAGGUGGGUGCCCAAAGGAGGCUGUGACCCCAUAGGAAGCCCAUGCUGGAGCAGGCUCCUGGCAGGACCUGUGGAUCUGUGGAGAGAGGAGCCCACCCUGGAGCAGUGUGCUCCUGAAGGACUUCAGCCCAUGGAAGGGACCCACGCUGGAGCAGUUUGUGAAGAACUGCAGCCCACAGGAAGGACCCAUGGUGGACAAUUUCAUGGAGGACUGUCUCCUGUGGGAGGGACGCCACGCUGGAGCAGGGGAAGAGUGUGAUGAGUCCUGUCCCUCAAGAGGAUGAAGCAGCAGAGACAACAUGUGAUGCACUGACCGUAAACCCCAUUCCCUGUCACCCUGCGCCGCUGGCAGGGAUAGGUAGAGAAUCCGGGAGUGAAGUUGUGCCCAGGAAGAAGGGAGGGGUGGAGGGAAGGUGUUCUGAGAUUUGUUUUUAUUUCUUAAUAGCCUACUCUGGCUGAUUUGUAAUAAAUCGAGUUAAUUUUCCC